rnacentral:rRNA from 1 species
GAAAGGAGUAAUCCGCUGAUAGAUGGGCUUGCGUCUGAUUAGUUAGUUGGUGGGGUAACGGCCUACCAAGACUACGAUCAGUAGCCGGACUGAGAGGUUGAACGGCCACAUUGGGACUGAGGUACGGCCCAGACUCCUACGGGAGGCAGCAGUCGGGAAUAUUGCGCAAUGGAGGAAACUCUGACGCAGUGACGCCGCGUAUAGGAAGAAGGUUUUCGGAUUGUAAACUAUUGUCAUUAGGGAAGAUAAAAGACUGUACCUAAGGAGGAAGCCCCGGCUAACUAUGUGCCAGCAGCCGCGGUAAUACAUAGGGGGCAAGCGUUAUCCGGAAUUAUUGGGUGUAAAGGGUGCGUAGACGGAAGAACAAGUUGGUUGUGAAAUCCCUCGGCUCAACUGAGGAACUGCAACCAAAACUAUUCUCCUUGAGUGUCGGAGAGGAAAGUGGAAUUCCUAGUGUAGCGGUGAAAUGCGUAGAUAUUAGGAGGAACACCAGUGGCGAAGGCGACUUUCUGGACGAUAACUGACGUUGAGGCACGAAAGUGUGGGGAGCAAACAGGAUUAGAUACCCUGGUAGUCCACACUGUAAACGAUGGAUACUAGGUGUAGGAUGUAUUAAGCAUUCU